rnacentral:rRNA from 2 species
GCCCUUUGUACACACCGCCCGUCGCUACUACCGAUUGAAUGGCUCAGUGAGGCCUUCGGACUGGCCCAGGGAGGUCGGCAACGACCACCCAGGGCCGGAAAGUUGGUCAAACUCGGUCAUUUAGAGGAAGUAAAAGUCGUAACAAGGUCUCCGUAGGUGAACCUGCGGAGGGAUCAUUA